rnacentral:rRNA from 1 species
UACGUAGGGUCCGAGCGUUGUCCGGAAUUAUUGGGCGUAAAGGGCUCGUAGGCGGUCUGUUGCGUCGGGAGUGAAAACUUACAGCUUAACUGUGAGCGUGCUUCCGAUACGGGCAGACUUGAGGUAUUCAGGGGAGAACGGAAUUCCUGGUGUAGCGGUGAAAUGCGCAGAUAUCAGGAGGAACACCGGCGGCGAAGGCGGUUCUCUGGGAAUAUCCUGACGCUGAGGAGCGAAAGUGUGGGGAGCGAACAGG